rnacentral:lncRNA from 1 species
GUAGAGUGCAGGCCAGGCUCAGAAGGUGGGAUGGCGGCCGUGGGUGGCUGCAUCCUGCUUGGGACCUGGAUCCCUGGCCUGGGAGCCGGGGGCUGCGGGCCACGAGGAGGGCGAAGGCCCCGCCGCUGCGGCGUGAGGACGGCUUCGCACGCGGGAGCAGGCCCGGCGCCACCUGAGCUCGGCUGCCUGCGCGGAGGCGCCCUUCGCCUACUGAGAGGAGAAUGAGGGGCGUUGUCCAGCUUAGUGGCGUCCACGGUGUGCACCAUCAGCAGGCCAGCCGACUUCUGCUGGGACGUGUCCAUGAUGUCGAUCAGCAUGUUCUUCUUGUCAUCGCCUUUCCGGUCUCGGCCCAGAGUCUUCAAAUACAUUAUCCAUUUUAAGUU